rnacentral:rRNA from 1 species
ACGGAAGGCAGCAGUGAGGAAUAUUGGUCAAUGGGCGCAAGCCUGAACCAGCCAUGCCGCGUGCAGGAAUAAGGCCCUAUGGGUCGUAAACUGCUUUUGCUGGGGAGCAAUAAGGUCUACGUGUAGGCUGAUGAGAGUACCCGGCGAAUAAGCAUCGGCUAACUCCGUGCCAGCAGCCGCGGUAAUACGGAGGAUGCAAGCGUUAUCCGGAUUUAUUGGGUUUAAAGGGUGCGUAGGCUGUUGUUCAAGUCAGAGGUGAAAGCCCGGGGCUCAACUCCGGAACUGCCUUUGAUACUGGGCAGCUUGAAUCCUGUUGCCGUGGGAGGAAUGAGUGGUGUAGCGGUGAAAUGCAUAGAUAUCACUCAGAACACCGGUUGCGAAGGCAUCUCACGAAGCAGGCAUUGACGCUGAGGCACGAAAGCGCGGGGAUCGAACAGGAUUAGAUACCCUGGUA